GAUGAAGAACGUAGCGAAAUGCGAUAGGUAAUGUGAAUUGCAGAAUUCAGUGAAUCAUCGAGUCUUUGAACGCACAUUGCGCCCCCUGGUAUUCCGGGGGGCAUGCCUGUCCGAGCGUCAUUGCUGCCCUCAAGCACGGCUUGUGUGUUGGGCCCCGCCCCCCGGCUCCCGGGGGGCGGGCCCGAAAGGCAGCGGCGGCACCGCGUCCGGUCCUCGAGCGUAUGGGGCUUCGUCACCCGCUCCGUAGGCCCGGCCGGCGCCCGCCGGCGACCCCCCUCAAUCUUUUCAGGUUGACCUCGGAUCAGGUAGGGAUACCCGCUGAACUUAAGCAUAUCAAUAAGCGGAGGA
rnacentral:misc_RNA from 1 species